rnacentral:lncRNA from 1 species
GCAAAAAUUAUGUUGUAGAAAAGGCAUAUUUAGUUUUUGGUCUGAUGAAUGUGGCUAAGAGAAAAAUUUAUCAUGGCUGUGAGCAGUCCAAAAUAUGGUCUAGAAUAAGGAAUGUAGGAAAUGGAGACUACUGUAGGCCUUAUUAAAUUAUAACAUUUCAUAAUUAAAUGAAAACUAGUAAAUGAAAUAUAAACAUCGGACUUGAUUUUUUCCCUAAAGAUGCAGUUUUAAAACUUAAAUGAAAAAAUGCCGAUAGAAAAUUAUCUUUAGAAUUUAUCUUUUUCGACUAGUUAGUUACCUUUUGCAUUUUUUAGUAAUAAAAUUUACUUAGUGGAGUAUUUUCUUUCCUUAACCAUACUUUAAUAUUUUUGUCUAACUUACCUCUUUCUCAUCCUGAAGGCAGACAGUGAGCAGCGAGGGAUUUGGAGACAAACUUUGGGGAAUUUGAGUGUUUUUAAAAAUCACCUCCAUAAAAUCUUUAUUUUAUUUUUUUCACAAAACCCUUAGACAUAAAGUUCUCUAUGUGCUGUUCCAAACGAAGUCUCCUUUUAGGCAGAGCUGUGGUGUUCCAGAAUUAAGUCUCCUUUUGGCCUGCCUUUCUCCCUAGGCAGAACACCUGAGCCACAGUAUCAGAACUAGGGAUGGAAGCCUGCUUUUUCUGGAAUGAAACCCCUCACUCUUCAAGUGGCCACAAGAAAAGAGGAGGUGCCAAGAAGAAAAGGAGCAAUCUGCCAUCUGCUAGGCCAUCUGUUUCAUAAGACCUAUUCCUUAUUUACAGCCAUUGGGGUUUUCAUUUAUUUUAAAAAAUGAUCAGCAUCAUCAAAGACCCCAAAUAAGAGCAUAUAAUAUUAUCUAAUAGGCAUCUAGGUUAGCAGAAGAUUCUAUUUUUCUCCAAGUUGUUUCCCUAUUGAGUCAUAUCCUUCACAAUGUAUGUAAUAUAGAAAGAGCACAAUCUGUGAAUCAGAAGCCCUAGGUCUGAAUCCUAACUCUGCUUCCUACUAACUUAUCUAGGGCAAUUGCCUACCUACCUGACCUUAAAAUUCUUCCAUGUAAAAUGGAAAUAAUAACGUACCUCACAGGAUGUGAGUCAAAAUGUAAGCUCCAUAAAGGCAAGCAUCUUCAUGUGUUUUGUUCAGUGAUGUAUCCUAAGGACUCAUAACAUUGUUUGGCAUGUAGAAUAUGCUCAUUCAAUACUUGUUGAAUGUGAUAAUGCUGAAAUAAGGUUGAUACUUAUAAAAAUGCUGUAAAGACUAUUAAUCAAAUAAUAGAAUUCCAAGAUAAGGAACUUAAGGAUUUAUCUAAUUCAGUCUCCUUGAUUUAUAGAUGAAUAAACUGAAGACUGGAAAUACUGAACAGCACAAGAUGUUAUAGCCACAUUCCUUUAUAAAAUUGUAUAAUCAACUGGGUGCAGUGGCUCAUGUCUAUAAUCCCAGCACUUUUGGAGGUGAGGUGGGUGAUCACUCGAGGUCAGGAGUUCAAGACCAGCCUCGCCAACAUGGUGAAACCCAAACUCUACUAAAAAUACAUAAAUUAGCUGUAUGUGGUGGUGUGUGCCUGUAGUUCCAGCUACUUGGGAGGCUGAGAUAUGAGAAUUGCUUGAACCUGGGAGGCAGAGGUUGCAGUGAGCCAAGAUCACACUACUGCACUCCAGCUUGGGCAAUAAAGUAGAUUCCAUCUCAAAAAAUAAAAAAAAAAUAAAAAAAUAAAAAAUAAAAUAAAAUUGUAUAAUCCAUCACCUUAGUACAAUGCUUUACAAACUUCAGUCUUCUGUGUAAAACCUUCUCUAUU